CACAGGCAAUUCUCAGAUGGGUUGUGUGUCAUGAAAUCUGGACUACGGCUGUCAACCCCAGCUAGGACACAAUCUGGGAGCACACAAGAAGAGUGUGGAGAAAAAUGGAAGAUAUUCACAGAGUCAUGCCUGACACACAUUAAGUAUCCAAUAAGAAUUUAUUGAUCAGUGAAUGAAUGCAUGCAUGGAGAAUAACUGAUCUACACUCUAAGGAAACUGGGAGGAAUGGAGACUCCAUGGAGCAGAAAUGUUCUCCUCUUUAUACAUGACACUUCAAUACUCCAUUAAAUACAUGGGUUUCUGUGUUAGACUGAUUGAUGGUAAAGAUGACAAAAGCUUGAGCAGUCUGUUAGCUUGAGCUGAAAAAUGUGUAGCACUAACUGCCUUAAACAGUUAAAAAUAUAACUCUCUAGCUGUAGUAAAGGCUGUCAAGCUAAGAUUUGGGAUUAAUUGUUCACUGUCUAACAUGAUUUGUGAAUGACUAUAGGACCAUACCGAUUAAAUUGUACUUUCCACAAAACAGGCAGCACAUGCCUCCUACCUUGGAGAGACCCACAAUUUUGCAGAGUAGCAAACAUCUGUAAUCCAUUUGGAUGCACAGGUGACAACUCUUUUUGAGUGUUCAGGACCCUGGGACUUCUGGGAUAUGUGCUAUGUCAUAAACUUAAAUGAUGAAAAACCAGCGGGACUCCUUCAACCUUUAAUUGGAACCACUCAACGUGGCAAAGAAACUGAGCAACUCUUUUUUAUUUCAUUUAAUAUUUUCUCUUACAUUCACAAAUCAUUUAUCAGUAUCAUCUGAAAAUGAAAAAUGAUAAGUGAAGUGGUAUUUGGCACAAUACAUCCAGUUUGUUAUCCAGGGGAUGGUGUGUAUGUGCAAAAGUUCUAGCAAUGAAGUCAUACCCUGGAGAGGAAGCAAAAGGGGACUUUCUCUUCAGUUCUGGCUGAAUUCCCAGGUUUCAACCAAUGUGAGUCUACCGGAAUCAGUGAUAAUGUUUUCUGUCAUGGCUAUAAAAUACUUUCAGAGAAACAUAAAGUUUUUAUGAGAAGAAUAGUAAAAGAGAUGACUUCUUCUAUGCCUGGGGGUUAAUAUUUGUUCUUGUUGGCUCAUUUGAGAAUAGCAGAGGUUGAGUUGGAGAAAUUAAGACACAAAGGCUGGAGUUUCCCCUUGCCAGUAUUCAUUAUGAAUAGGAGCUUGAAGAUAGGCUCAAUUGCUGAAUAUUUAGGGGCCCUAAUACAUUCACAAGUCAUGGGUCCAAACAGCAGUAUUUGCUGGUUUUAUCUAAAUGCCAGUCUGCAUCAAGUGCUGGCCCCUCCCCCUUGCCUCUUCUCUUCUUUUUCAUUAGGAUGAUAGAAUUCUUUCUCUAAUAGGUUUCCAUAUUUCAAGUGUUAUUUAUUUAGAAUAGUUUAAUAUAAAAUGUCAGUGAGUUUACAGACCUUCCCGAAGAAUGGGAAUGUUAGGAUACUCAAACCACAUGCUGUCAAAAACUAUUUUAAGUUCUCUGUUUCAUCAAGUAAAUGCAGUUAGUUAAAUUGAAUUUGGAAGAUUCUCUCCACUUUGUGAUGAACAGAGAGUGAUUAUCAUACCUGUGAUACUCCUGACUUCCACAUUCUACAAGUAAAGUAGUCAUACUGAUCUUGAAGUUUAUUAGAGCUUUAAGCUGUCAGGUUAUUACUGUCAGUUUCAAGAAAAGAAAAAGUUACUGAUGUAAAAUUAAUUUAUUGAAUGGAAUUGUUUUGCCCUCAGGGAAUAACAUCACCAUUUAAUUUAAUU